CAUCGGUCUUCCAAGGCUAGGGCUGCUGCGACUGAGGAAUCUGAGGUUUAAGCCCCUCGGCRAGGGUCCCAGCCAGUGCCCUGGAGUAAGAGCGGACGUUCACUGAACAAGGCCAUGCCCAGAGGAUUCUAGAACUUCAAAGCUGCAGCUUUG
rnacentral:lncRNA from 1 species